rnacentral:rRNA from 1 species
UACAGAGGCCUCGAGCGUUAGGCGGAAUCACUGGGCUUAAAGCGUGUGUAGGCGGACUUCUAAGUACCUUGUGAAAUCCCACGGCUUACCCGUGGAACUGCUCGGUAUACUGGUUGUCUUGAGCCACCUAGGGGCGAGUGGAACAAAUGGUGGAGCGGUGAAAUGCGUAGAUAUCAUUUGGAACGCCAAUGGUGAAAACAACUCGCUGGGGGUGUGCUGACGCUGAGACACGAAAGCCAGGGGAGCGAACAGG